CAUUCAUUCAUUCAAUCAGACCAACGUCUCCCUUUGGAGAAUUAGAAGCAAUAAAGAUACAUGUAUAUUGUUGCUGUUAUAGUCAAUCUGUCAGUCGGUCAGUCAAUCUUUAAUUAAUCUAUUUGCUUUCUUUUUUAAAUAAAAAAACUUAAGAGCAGCACACAGCAACUUGCCUUGUAUAACUGAGUUUAUUAAUCGACCGGCUUCGUAUGCUACUGAGACUUCAUCAGGAUAAAACUACAAGAUACAUAAAUGGAACUUAUUUUAUACUAGAGCUUUGUAGUACAAAUAACGUUCCAAUUAGGGUGUGAACAACAAAACACCUACAAGAAAUACGUGCGGGAAAUGACUAAAAUCCUGUGCUAGAAAGUGGGCGAUUUAUGUGGGGGUUUUAAUGUUGAAACCGUGAGCCCCCAAUUUAAAAUUGUGAUUAUUGCAUAGUUAAACUUGUUCUUGUUCUGGAUUUACAAAUACAUGUAGCUAUGCUGGCAGGCUCGUGAGGAUAAAAAACCUGUAGUGGCACUAUUACUGCGCCCCAAUACAACUUUGCAUGGGAAAUUGAAUGAGGCAACGUUGAGGGUUUUUCAGAGGGUACUUGGGCAAUGCCAGGAAGGUUGGCUCUUCUGGAUUGCGGAAACAACAUCCAAAGAUGGCCAAGAAGCACUCAAAUUGUAUGGGAACAGAAGUAAUGAUGUGGACCAGUUGAUAUUUUUAACUCCAUCAGCCGGAAGAAAUCUCACCUUCAUUGAGCGGAUUGAAGGUGACACAAUUUUUGACAUUGAAAUCAGUAUGGUUUGCUCUGAAAACUUAACCACCCUCAUUUUGUUACUUGAUAAAUAAUUUUCCAAAAUUGUUUUGUAUUGAUCUGCAUUUUUAAAGUAUAACUUACAUAUUGUGUACCCCCAACCCAUUUGUGAUUUAUU